UACGGGGGGAGCAAGCGUUGUUCGGAUUUACUGGGCGUAAAGGGCGCGUAGGCGGCCACCGCAAGUCGACUGUGAAAUCCCCGGGCUCAACCCGGGAACUGCGUCCGAUACUGGGAGGCUUGAAUCCGGGAGAGGGAUGUGGAAUUCCAGGUGUAGCGGUGAAAUGCGUAGAUAUCUGGAGGAACACCGGUGGCGAAGGCGGCAUCCUGGACCGGUAUUGACGCUGAGGCGCGAAAGCUAGGGGAGCAAACGGG
rnacentral:rRNA from 1 species